rnacentral:rRNA from 1 species
AGCGAACGCUGGCGGCAGGCUUAACACAUGCAAGUCGAACGCAUCCUUCGGGGUGAGUGGCGGACGGGUGAGUAACACGUGGGAACGUACCCUUCGAUCUGGGAUAACUUCGGGAAACUGGAGCUAAUACCGGAUACGCCCUUUUGGGGAAAGGUUUACUGUCGAAGUAUCGGUCCGCGUCUGAUUAGCUAGUUGGUGGGGUAACGGCCUACCAAGGCGACGAUCAGUAGCUGGUCUGAGAGGAUGAUCAGCCACACUGGGACUGAGACACGGCCCAGACUCCUACGGGAGGCAGCAGUGGGGAAUAUUGGACAAUGGGCGCAAGCCUGAUCCAGCCAUGCCGCGUGAGUGAUGAAGGCCUUAGGGUUGUAAAGCUCUUUUGUCCGGGACGAUAAUGACGGUACCGGAAGAAUAAGCCCCGGCUAACUUCGUG